UACGAGGACCCCAAGCGUUAUCCGGAAUUACUGGGCGUAAAGCGUGCGCAGGCGGUUCGUUGUGUCGGCGGUGAAAGCCCCGGGCUUAACCUGGGAAUGGCCGUUGAAACUGGCGAACUGGAGUGUGGCAGAGGGGGGUGGAAUUCCGCGUGUAGCAGUGAAAUGCGUAGAGAUGCGGAGGAACACCGAUGGCGAAGGCAGCCCCCUGGGCUAACACUGACGCUCAGGCACGAAAGCGUGGGGAGCAAACAGG
rnacentral:rRNA from 1 species